AUGCUGAGGCCCAAAUCGGCUGGCGGUAUGGGAUUCAAAGACUUCAGACUCUUCAACCAAGCAAUGUUAGCUCGGCAAGCAUGGCGUAUUUUGGUCAACCCGGAAUGUCUUUGUACGCGCAUCUUGAAGGCAAGGUAUUUCCCUAAUGGACGAUUAGAAGAUACUGUUUUCACUAGCAACGCGUCGCAAACUUGGCAGGCCAUUUUGCAUGGGUUGGAAUUGCUGAAGAAAGGCUUAGUCUGGCGCAUCGGUAAUGGGCAGUCGGUCCGAAUUUGGCGGGACUCCUGGAUACCACACCCUGUUGGUCGGCCACCAAUUACCCAAUAGGGAAGGUGCUGUCUCCGCCGAGUCUCAGAGCUACUAGACGAGCAUGGUGCAUGGCGCGGAACCCUACUUCAACAGUACUUUUUGCCCGUUGAUGUUCAGGAGAUACUAAAGAUUAAAGCGUCCCCUCGGCUGGGGGCAGAUUUCCUUGCAUGGGGUGCAGAACGUACUGGUAUCUUCACCGUACGUAGC
rnacentral:rRNA from 1 species